AUGGUAUGAUGUAGACAUUGUCUCUCCAACUCUUUCCAUCUCAUCCAUGAUUCAUAGAGAGUUUCAUCUUCUCUUAGUCUAAAAGUUAUCAUUUGAUUCCUUAAUUCU